rnacentral:lncRNA from 1 species
AAAGAAAAUUAAGUAGGAUAGCAGCAUAGAGGAGGAUGAGGGGUUUAGAAAUAAGAUAAGCAGCUUGAGAUAUCGGAGAGGGGACAGUCAGGAGGGUGGAAGAUGAUUGACUGACGGGGGAGUGGCAUAGUGCUGUGUACUGCACUAUUUGAAGUGUUGUUGCACCGUUUUCCUUUGUGUUGCAUCAUUAUUCCUAUUGCUGCCUGCGUUUUCUUUCUAAUGUAGCUUCAAAAUAUUUAUUUUGAAAAAACUGAAAAACAAAUAUGGCUGGCGAAUAGAGGGAGCGAUUUGUUUCAAAUUCCGACGACUAGGAGGUUGCGUAACCUGGUGCGAAUCGCAUUUAAUCCCCGCUUAGGCACCAUACAAUACAGUAGACAUAUCUAAAGGGAUGUAGGUGAGGCGGACGAAGAGGGAGGGGAGGGGGAUAUUUUCAUCAGAUAGCGAAAAGUUCGGACCGAAUCUCCAAAAUCCAAAAAGGCUGCCUAGUUUUGCAAAAU